rnacentral:rRNA from 1 species
GACGAACGCUGGCGGCGUGCUUAACACAUGCAAGUCGAACGGAAAGGCCCUGCUUUUGUGGGGUGCUCGAGUGGCGAACGGGUGAGUAACACGUGAGUAACCUGCCCUUAACUUUGGGAUAACUUCAGGAAACUGGGGCUAAUACCGGAUAGGAGCUCCUGCUGCAUGGUGGGGGUUGGAAAGUUUCGGCGGUUGGGGAUGGACUCGCGGCUUAUCAGCUUGUUGGUGGGGUAGUGGCUUACCAAGGCGUUGACGGGUAGCCGGCCUGAGAGGGUGACCGGCCACAUUGGGACUGAGAUACGGCCCAGACUCCUACGGGAGGCAGCAGUGGGGAAUAUUGCACAAUGGGCGGAAGCCUGAUGCAGCAACGCCGCGUGCGGGAUGACGGCCUUCGGGUUGUAAACCGCUUUCGCCUGUGACGAAGCGUGAGUGACGGUAAUGGGUAAAGAAGCACCGGCUAACUACGUG